rnacentral:lncRNA from 1 species
GGCGAGGUAACCGUUGGAGAAGGCAAAGGCAGCCAUGAAGGCGAUGAACCAGGCGUCAUGCUUAAAGACGAAGUGGUGCCGCUGCGCACCGCAGUGGCGCGCUUUCACGUUGCAGAGCAUCAGCAGGGGGAUAAACACAAUCCUCGAGGCGACCAAAACCGGCAGCCAGCGGCUAUCCUGGCCAGGCUGCGGGCACAGGCAAAGCUUCAGCGCGUAUGUCAGUCCUCCCGGUCUCCUGGGGCCCCUGGGGACUUGGAUAAGACCUCUAGGCCUGGGUAUCUUUAGGGGUGCUGAUUGCUAGGGGCGCAGUGGUGCCUAUGGGAUGUCGGGAUGUAUCUUUCCAUCUAGGUGGGAGCCAUGACGUGCACACCUCUGCCAGACUACACACCUAAGAACGGUACGCGUGGGCCAGGGACGGCUCAAUAGUUAGAGUCCUGCUCUUGUGGAAGACCCAGGUUUAGUUUCCAGUCCUCACAAGCUCCUCUAACUCCAGCUCCGGGGGGGAUCUGGUGCCCUCUUCUGGCCUCUGUGGGCAUUGCAUUCACAUGCGCACACCCUCACACACACAUGAUUUGAAAAGUCUUAGCUGGGUCAUGGUGGCACACGCACUUGGGAAGCGGGGGGGGGGCAAGAGAUCUGAGUUCAAGGCCAGCCUGGUCAGAAAGGGAAGUGGUAUAAGGCAGACCCAGCAAAAGGAGAAAGGAGGUCGAGGAAGGGUAGGCAGGACCCCAGGACCCACGUACACUCUUAAGUAUGGCUUUGAUAGACUGGUUUCUGUCGGUGGGUGGAGAGUUGGGGCCUGGCACCCCAGAUUCCUCUCUUCUUCCUUUUG